rnacentral:rRNA from 1 species
GACGAACGCUGGCGGCGUGCUUAACACAUGCAAGUCGAACGGAAAGGCCCUGCUUUUGUGGGGUGCUCGAGUGGCAAACGGGUGAGGAACACGUGAGUAACCUGCCCUUGAUUUUGGUAUAACUUCAGGUAACUGGGGCUAAUACCAGAUAGGAGCUCCUGCUGCAUGGUGGGGGUUGGAAAGUUUCGGCGGUUGGGGAUGGACUCGCGGCUUAUGAGCUUGUUGGUGGGGUAGUGGCUUACCCAGGCUUUGACGGGUAGCCGGCCUGAGAGGGUGACCGGCGACAUGGGGACUGCGAUACGGCGCAGACGGCAACGGGAGGCAGCAGUGGCGAACAUUGCACAAUGGGAGGAAGCCUGAUGAAGAAACGCCGCGUGCGGGAUGACGGCCUUCGGGUUGUAAAAAGCUUUCGCCUGUGACGAAGCGUGAGUGACGGUAAUGGGUAAAGAAGCACCGGCUAACUACGUG